AGUGUAAAUGCUGGAUCAUAUGGUAAGAGUGUGUUUUUUAAGAAAUUGUCAAACUUUUCCAAAGUGGCUGUACCAUUUGCAUUUCUAUCAACAAU
rnacentral:pre_miRNA from 1 species